GGGUUGUGAGGUUAAGCGACUAAGCGUACACGGUGGAUGCCCUGGCAGUCAGAGGCGAUGAAGGGCGUGCUAAUCUGCGAUAAGCGCCGGUAAGGUGAUAUGAACCGUUAUAACCGGCGAUACCCGAAUGGGGAAACCCAGUGUGAUUCGUCACACUAUCAUUAACUGAAUCCAUAGGUUAAUGAGGCGAACCGGGGGAACUGAAACAUCUAAGUACCCCGAGGAAAAGAAAUCAACCGAGAUUCCCCCAGUAGCGGCGAGCGAACGGGGAGGAGCCCAGAGCCUGAAUCAGCAUGUGUGUUAGUGGAAGCGUCUGGAAAGGCGCGCGAUACAGGGUGACAGCCCCGUACACAAAAGCGCAUGUGCUGUGAGCUCGAUGAGUAGGGCGGGACACGUGGUAUCCUGUCUGAAUAUGGGGGGACCAUCCUCCAAGGCUAAAUACUCCUGACUGACCGAUAGUGAACCAGUACCGUGAGGGAAAGGCGAAAAGAACCCCGGCGAGGGGAGUGAAAAAGAACCUGAAACCGUGUACGUACAAGCAGUGGGAGCCCCACCACUAAGCCAGUGGUGAACUCCACAUCCGCAUCCUUUGCUGAGGAUACGGUUAACGGAGCGAAAGCGACGUUCAACCGCAAAACAAGCAGAGGGGGCUUAGUGGUGGGGUGACUGCGUACCUUUUGUAUAAUGGGUCAGCGACUUAUAUUCUGUAGCAAGG
rnacentral:rRNA from 1 species